ACAACCAUAUCAUGUUGAAAUACCGGUUCCCAUACGAUCACCAAAGUUGAGCAAUGUUUAGCCUGGUCAGUAGCUAGAUGGGUGACUUCUUGGAAAUA